AGCGAACGCUGGCGGCAGGCUUAACACAUGCAUGUCGAACGCCCCGCAAGGGGAGUGGCAGACGGGUGAGGAACACGUGGGAACGUACCCUUCGGUUCGGAAUAACUCAGGGAAACUUGUGCUAAUACCGGAUACGUCCGAAAGGAGAAAGAUUUAUCGCCGAAGGAUCGGCCCGCGUCUGAUCAGCUUGUUGGUGAGGUAACGGCUCACCAAGGCGACGAUCAGUAGCUGGUCUGAGAGGAUGAUCAGCCACACUGGGACUGAGACACGGCCCAGACUCCUACGGGAGGCAGCAGUGGGGAAUAUUGGACAAUGGGGGCAACCCUGAUCCAGCCAUGCCGCGUGAGUGAUGAAGGCCUUAGGGUUGUAAAGCUCUUUUGUCCGGGAAGAUAAUGACGGUACCGGAAGAAUAAGCCCCGGCUAACUUCGUGCCAGCCGCCGCGGUAA
rnacentral:rRNA from 1 species